rnacentral:rRNA from 1 species
GACGAACGCUGGCGGCGUGCUUAACACAUGCAAGUCGAACGGAAAGGCCCGGCUUUUGUGGGGUGCUCGAGUGGCGAACGGGUGAGUAAAACGUGAGUAACCUGCCCUUGACUUUGGGAUAACUUCAGGAAACUGGGGCUAAUACCGGAUAGGAGCUCCUGCUGCAGGGUGGGGGUGGGAAAGUUUCGGCGGUUGGGGAUGGACUCGCGGCUUAUCAGCUUGUUGGUGGGGUAGUGGCUUACCAAGGCUUUGACGGGUAGCCGGCCUGAGAGGGUGACCGGCCACAUUGGGACUGAGAUACGGCCCAGACUCCUACGGGAGGCAGCAGUGGGGAAUAUUGCACAAUGGGCGGAAGCCUGAUGCAGCAACGCCGCGUGCGGGAUGACGGCCUUCGGGUUGUAAACCGCUUUCGCCUGUGACGAAGCGUGAGUGACGGUAAUGGGUAAAGAAGCACCGGCUAACUACGUG